UCCUGAGGGCUCAGGGAAAGUGUCCCUGCAAACCCUUUGCGCGCCUCUGCCCAGGAGAAAAGUGCCAUCAGCGCGCUUACUUGGGACAGCCAGCCUGGCUCCAGAACACGUGGCAGUCGCAAGGCAGAGCAGCAACACGGCGCCUGGACCCCAGCAGCAGGCCUGCCUCAAGCUGUGCUCAUUUCUUGUUUCAGCGGAAUCUCUGUAGUUUUUGUUAGGAUUGGGGAAAGGGAAGUGUGAGGUGCGGACAGCUGGAAGGCUGGUUCCCACCCGCCCUGCCUGGGGCUGUGAAGGGCUCGCAUUCAUCUGUGGUCUUUGCAGUAACGGAUGGUUGCCCCUAACUCUGCACCCCUGCUUCUGCACUGAGGCUCUCGUUUUUUCAUCACUGGGGUAUGCAGGCUUUGGUGUUCACAGCCCUGGGUCUCUGCAGGCCAAAGCAGCUGAAAGAACCCUCGCUCCCAGUCUGCAUCCCGCACUUGGCAAUGGCUCGCUCUUCUGGGCGCUAACCUGAGGGGUUCUGUGACCUGCACUUGCGUGGGGAGUCAUCUUGGGGGGGCGAACUGUUUGCCUUACUUUGUGUUGGGAAAGGUGAUGCAGCCAAAACCAGGCUCUGUCUGGGGCUUGGGAGGGGGGUGGCGCUUGCGAUGGCAUUUGCUGCUGAGGGAUGAGCUGUGCUGGGUGCAGUUAUGCCUCCUGCGAGGAGCGUGCUUUUCGAAGAGGACAGGUAGCCAUGCCACUCACCUCCUUUCUCCCAAAUGGUCGUCUUGUUGCCAGAAGCCAGAACGUCUGAAUGCCUGGUGGGGCCUUUGUUGCCAGCCUGGCCCCUCAGGGGAGCAGCCUGUACCUGCCCUUGCUCUGGACCUUGCCAGGAGCAGAGGCUGCUGCCAGCUUCUGGCUGCUUGCCCAGUGAAAAGUAGCAGAAUUGACCAUGCGAUUUUUAAUGAAAAUCACAAGCAAGAGGCAGCCAAGCCCUGUAAUUGCACUAAUUGCAGCCAUCGUCAUGACCAUGCUAAGAGCCACUCUCCUGGUCUCAGCUUAGUGAUUCUUCUAACUCCAUGUUUCAGCACCUCCUCUGCCCCCCCGCACGAGGCAGACUCACCUGGCACAUGGACAUAAUUCACUGUGUAAAGGGAGCUAGAAGGUGUUAUGUCCCUGCUCCUGUGGAGCUGCUGCUUUCUUUCUAGACAUUGAAGGUCUUCAGUGGCGCAGCAGGGAGAAGGAGGUGGAGCUGGUGCCGGCUGUGAGAGAUGUGUCCUGCACAGCACUUUGCUUGCAGGCUUGCAUUCUCCCUCUGUGUCAGAAGAUGAGAUGGGUCAGCCUUGGCUCAACAGGAGUUCCUGGACUCGUGGGGAAGCAAAUGUUCAUCUGUCCUGAGCGUCUUGGGGGAGUGGCAAAGUGUGUGUUGGGAGGGGACUGUGUGGCUGAUGCAGACAGAUGGUAUUUUGCCUUAUCCUGCCCUGCAAGUUGGGAGCUAAGAGUCUGUUUCUCCUCCCGUGUCGAGUUGGAGAUCACAGGGUAAUUCAGGUGGGAAGGGACCUCGGUUCUCUACGCCAGCAGGGUCAAGUAUGAGAUCAGACCAGGUUGCUCAGGGCAGGUCUUGAAAACCUCCAAGGUGGGAGACUGCACAGCCUCUCUGGACCCCUGCUUCAAUGCUUGACUGUCAUCAUGAGGAGGAGGUUUUCCCUUAUCUAGUCUGAACAUGUCUUUAUAGUUAUGCCCAUUGUCUGUCAUCCUCCCACUGAGCACCACUGAUAAGAGCCUGGCUCUGUCUUGGCAGAUAACUUCCUUGUAGGUACUGACAGAUUGCUAUAAGGUCCCCCUGAAACCACGUCUUUUCCAAGCUGAACAAGCCUCCCUCCCUCCGCCUUUCCUUACAGGACAAGCGCUUCAAGCCCUGAGUACCUUGGUGGUUCUCUACUGAACUCCCACUAAUUUGUCCAUGUCUUUUCUGUAUUGGAGGCGGAACCUGCAUGCAGCAUUCCUUCAUGGGGACUAACAAGUACUGGUACAAAGGGAUAGUCACUUCCCUUGAUCUGGUGGCUGUGUUCCUCUAACGCAGCAUAGGAUGCUGCUAGCUGCCUUUACUGCCAGUGCACACAAUGUUCAAUGUGCUGUCUGCUGCUGUUCUUUUCAGAUGAAGAGUGGGAGAGCCAAGGGUGAUGCCCCAAUACAUGUUUCAGUCUACUGCCUUGGCAUGGACACUGCAGGGGUGUUUCCUCCAGAGGGAAGAACUGCAGCCCACUCGUGAACCUUCAGUGAUCCCAUCCAAGCCCCAGGUGCUGGAGAUUGGUAUCCACAGAGAGUCUCAGCUUUGUGGUGCCAGGUGAGACCAGUGGCUGCUUGUAGACCUGGGGUGCCUGGGAUUGUUCCUGCUGUGGUCCAGUCACGUGGGGACAUGAUGCAGAGAAGCUCCCUGUUCCUUGUGGGCGUCACGGAUGCCUCCUGCCACAGUACUGUCCGUAGCUUCUGCCUGCAGUUCCGUAGAUUUUCAAGGCCUGAAGCGACUGUUCAUUGAUCCAUGGCCCCUGUGUAAGUCCGGGAUGCUGAAUAAGUGCCUCAGCUGCUGGCAGAGCCACAGGCUUGGGAGAGCAACAGCCAGUGCCAGCCUCCCAGCUGGAACAACUACACAGUUUCCAAAUUGUGAGUUGCUCUUCUCCUGCUUGCCAAGAAGAUGGAGUUUCAUACCCACCUCUCCGUUAGACCUGGCAAGCUGGAGAAAUGCUUGAAUCCCACCUCCGAGACCCUUCCAUGUGUUCUGAGCAGGGGACACCUGCAAGUCUGCCAGCCACACAGCGUAUGGAUUUGCCAGGCUGAAAGGAAAGGCUUUUCUCUGCUCGCUGUGAGACAGCCUUGCUGCUGACGAGCCUGGAAGAACACGUUUAGGUCAUUCCAUCAACGUAAAGGUUAAAUGUUUAGCUGCAGCUAUUGAAAACAAAGCAACCACAGCAGCAACAACAGCAGCAAAAGAAUUGGAUGCCUUAUCAAUGUCUGGAUGUAAGAUCUGCAUCUAAGCACCUACCAGGCACAGCGCACUGAGGUCCUCACUGGACAGUGCCCUGUGUCGAGAGCUCUGUCUUCUCGGCACUUUUUUACCUGUGGGCAGCUGUGCAACAGCUCAGCCCCACUUCACCCUAGUUGACAGCUUUGCAAGAUGGAUUUUUGGACUCGAAUUUUUGCCUGGGGAUUUUGAAGAAGCGCCUGAUGUUUUUAAGCAUGUCCAUACGAUUUCUGCACUUUCUGCUGAUUAAGAGGGCCUCUUUAUGUUGUAGCCUUACUUUCAGCCACUCGGCCUCUGUGAGAAUGCCAGGGGCCUACUCUGAGUUAUCUGAGUAUAGGUCUUUUGUUGAGUAAGUAUGGAUCUGGAAGAGUCAUUUCUCUCUACCCUGCACAUCCGCUGUUUCAGUAAGUCAGUAGAUUUCUCAUACAUUAAACUUGUAUUGUUUUGCAAAAAACACUUCAUAUUUUAACAUCGUAAAGCAGGUUGUCUUUUGGCCAGCAAGGCUCACAGCCUUCAUGACUUCAUAACAGCUUGCAAUAUGCAUAUUAUUAAAAGAAAGAACUAAAACCUCAUCGUGAUACAAUAUGUUUAACAGUCCCAUAAUGCCUGAAUUCCCUCUUCCUGUCACAUUUGUGGGCAUGUCACAGCAACCAUCCUGCUGCCAGGCCAUUGUCUGGGCUCAGGCAGUCCUGAGCCUAGAUGGCAGUCCCAUGCCUAGAAUACCUGCAGCAUCCAAGGCAAACAGCAAGAGACACUUCUUUCAAGAUGUAGUCCUCCCCGCGCUCUGUCUCUCUAUGUGCCUUUCCUCAUCACUCCGCCUGAUGGCCCAGGGUUGGAGCUCUUCCAGGCUCUUGCUGGCAUGGUCUGCCUGUGAUGGGGCCGUUUGUGCGUCAGCAGUGCUCCAGGCACACCCUGCCAGACGAGGGGGCUGCAGGGGCCUUUGCUGGCUCAGGAAGGGUUAUUCGGUUUGCAGUCCUGUCUGCAGCAUCCAGAGAAGCUCCAGGUGCCCAGAGCCCCCUCCUCCAUGCCCAAGGCCAACUCUUUGCUCCAUGCAAGGAGACAACGGCUCCUGGCAGCACCUGUGGAGAGCUGUGGAGGGCUGUGCUGAACAGGUCUAGGUGCUAUGGCUGCCCUGCGCUGGCAGCCGCCACCUCCUUGGAGAUGGUGCCAGGUGCUGUCAGUGGUGCAGGCUAUUGGCAUUAGGUGCUGGUCUGUGCAAACUGCCCUCUAUACCAUCACCCUUUUUCUGUUGGUCUCUGGCAGUUGCUGCCCCUGUUAGGUGAGCAUAUGAUCCACUACAAUCCACAACCAGCUGGCCCCAGUGAAGAGAGCAGCACAGCAGACUGAUCCAUUGGGGGGACUUCAUCAAAAGGCUCGGUGGGGAGCAGCCAUGUGACUCUGCUGGCUCAUAAACUGAGCUCUGGCGUGAUGUCUCAGCCCCCCCAUGCUGCUGUGCAUCGGCCCGGCCACAGGGUGCAGCCAGAUGAGGUGGCUCUGGGGUGCAGGCACCCAGCGAGCACCCAGGUGCCGGCUGAGCUGUCACCUGAGUAGCAGCAGCAGAUGGAUGUGGAAAGCCUUUAAAUUCAGCACAUGAUCAAUACUAAACUGAUCUUCUGGAGUCUCUUAUAAGAUUACCCCAGCCUCAUGCAUCCAAUUGUAAAAAAAUCACUCAGCACACAAGGGAGAUGUGAGAAACACUGCAGGCCCCAUUUAGGAUGCACAGAGCCAGAGUAAGCGACUUCACAAUUGUUUCUUGCAGUAAAUAAUUCAUCCACUUUACAUUUGGGUUUAUUGCUACCCCCACGCCCCUGCCUCAGUUCCUUUCUGCCCGUUUCCCUCUCUUGUCCUGCAGUUCCGGUGCUGGGUAGUUCCUGUCAUUGUGAUUCCCUAACACACACAUGUGCGCGCUUGUACACACGCACACAGAGACAAAUCUGUCCCGGUCUGACUUUUACCAAUUGCCGUAUCAGGGAGAGCAGUGCUGGGGUAGAGACGAUGCUGUUUCACUGCGCAGCAUCAGCAGAACUGAGCUGGGCUCAGUCUGGGCCCUGGCCUGGCUUUGCCACCCUGGUGUCUGCCCCAGUGCUGCUUUCGCGUGCUGCCAACACGCAGAACUGUUUGGAAUCCAUUAACAAUGCUAACAGUAUCUCUGUACUAAUUAGUAAUGCCAUUUCCACCAACUCCCUCUCUAUGACACACGUUAUCAGCCAGGCGCAGAGUGGGGGCCGCAGCUGAUGCGCAGAGAACAGCAAUGGAGGGGCAGAAAGCUGCUCUGGCAUGGGCCGGGCUGUGGUGGGUACUCCUGGCCCUGGCGCCCACCCGGGAGCCCUGGGCUUCCCCAUGCAGUCAGAGCCAGGGGGGACGAGGCAGCAGCUGGAUGUGAGCUGGUAUGUGGGGCUUGCCGCAUCUGGACUAGGGUGCCUGGUGGGCUCUGCCCUGAUCACACACACGCUUACCAGUGUGGGCUCUGGUGGGCUCGCCGAACCAGAUGGCUCGUGUGGCGAUGCAGGUUGCUACAGCUGCUAAGAACAGGUGGAUGGGAGUUCCUGCCAUGGGAUGAAGCUUGUCUGGGCCUCUCAGCUGAGGCUGUUACAUGCAUCUCUGAAGCCCUUGGCAGCACUCUAGCUCCUGGGGCAUCCUGCUUCUGGGAAAAGACCAAGUGGGAUGUGUCUCUUUGAGUUGAAAAUUGUUGGAGUCUGGGAAAUUGUCAGGAAGAGCAUCACAGCUGCUUGCCCUGUCCCUGUUCUGCUCCAGGCAGUUGCUUCUGGCCACUCUGGAGACACAACAUGGGCUAGAAGGACUCUUGGGCCAGACUUUUGCCGGUCCCUGUGGAAACCAUUUUGAUUGUGUCUGGAGCCUUCCUGCAAGUGCACUCAUUUGCACAGGUGGGUGCUGCGAGGCUCUGAUCCCACCUCUGGUUCUGUCCCGCUCUGAUCGCUGUGAAGGGCAGGACAGUUGAGAUCAUGGUGGCUGUGGCCUGACCUGAACUGCAUCUUCAGGACUAGAUCCUCCUCUUAAGGUGCUACUCAGCCAUCUCCACUGGCUCUUUGGACACUCCUUCCAGCAAAGCAGCAGGUGACCUUUUGGAGAGAAAUGAACCCAGCAUCAACAUGGUAUUUUGCUCGCUGUCUCUUCAGGAUCUGUAAGUAUAGGCCGAAUUAAAGUUACUCUAAUCCUCUUGCUUUGAGAGGUGCCCGCAAGAUCCCACCAGCUGGGAGGCAGUGGCUGCUCCGGGUGUUCUGGCUCCAGGCCAUAAUCCCUGGAAGGCCUCAGGGGCAUUUCCCAAAGUGCCCCUCAGGGACACGGCUGGGCCCUGCGCUGCUGAGCGCCCCGGGCACGGGCUGCUGUGCCAGCUUUGACCACUGCUGCUCCUUGCACAGGAAUCCGUGAAUGUGGUGUCUCCGUGCGAGUCCGAGGCCCCCGAGUGUUAACGCUCCCAGCAGCUCCGGGUGGGCACCUGCACGUCAUGGGUGGUGUCCCCAGGCGUCACCUCUAAGCUGUGCCAGCAGACAGCAGCCUGUGGGCCUGGGGCUGCACACGGCUGCGUCGGGCUGAGCUGACAGGCCUGGCGUGAAAUAAGAUGAAUGGGCUGAAGUUGGUGAAAAUGAUUCUAAUUUAUAAUCUGCUGCUUUGUGGAGCUCCCCAAUUAAUUCUCUCUAGAUACAUAAGUAGGCCACAUGUUUGCUUUGCUUCAAAUGUAAUAAACAUUACACUCUGUCCCCUCGUUCGGUGCUGGUUCCUGUCAGAGCAUCCGUCCCAGAGCUAAUUCCUCACACCUGUCUCCCAGGCUCCUGGGACCUAGUCUGAGCACGGGGCGGAAACGCCAGGCUCCGGGAACCCUGUGGCAUGGGGAGAUAAAUUGCUGAUCAAAGGGCCAGCGCACGGUGCCGCUGAAUAUUUAGUCGCAGGCAAGGCAGCCCAGCCCGCUCAGGAAAGGGCUUUGCUUCGGAAGAACUGUUUGCCUGGCUCCGCUCUGCGGCAGCGAGCAGCUGGGGUGGGAUGGGGUGCUGGGAUCUGCGCACCCUCAGGCCACAAAG